AUUGAACGCUAGCGGUAUGCCUUACACAUGCAAGUCGAACGGAGUGGCGAACGGGUGAGUAAUGUAUCGGAACGUGCCCAGUAGCGGGGGAUAACUACGCGAAAGCGUAGCUAAUACCGCCUACUAUUGGAGCGGCCGAUAGCGGAUUAGCUAUUUGGUGGGGGAACGGCCCACCAGGGCGACGAGCCGUAGCUGGUUUGAGAGGACGACCAGCCGAACUGUGACGAAGACACGGCCCAGGCUCCUACGGUGGGCAGCAGUGGGGAAUUUUGGACAAUGGGGGAAACCCGGAUCCAGCCAUCCCACGUGUGCGAUGAAGGCCUUCGGGUUGCAAAGCACUUUUGGCAGGAAAGCGGUACCUGCAGAAUAAGCACCGGCUAACUACGUGCCAGCAGCCGCGGUAAUAC
rnacentral:rRNA from 1 species